AUACGGAGGGGGUUAGCGUUGUUCGGAAUUACUGGGCGUAAAGCGCACGUAGGCGGAUCAGAAAGUAUGAGGUGAAAUCCCGGGGCUCAACCCCGGAACUGCCUUGUAAACUCCUGGUCUUGAGUUCGAGAGAGGUGAGUGGAAUUCCGAGUGUAGAGGUGAAAUUCGUAGAUAUUUGGAGGAACACCAGUGGCGAAGGCGGCUCACUGGCUCGAUACUGACGCUGAGGUGCGAAAGUGUGGGGAGCAAACAGGAUUAGAUACCCUGGUAGUCCACACCGUAAACGAUGUCUACUAGCCGUUGGGAGACUUGAUCUCUUAGUGGCGCAGCUAACGCGAUAAGUAGACCGCCUGGGGAGUACGGUCGCAAGAUUAAAAACUCAAAAUGAAUUGACGGGGGCCCGCACAAGCGGUGGAGCAUGUGGUUUAAUUCGAUGCAACGCGAAGAACCUUACCUACUCUUGACAUACUAGAAACUUUUCAGAGAUGAAUU
rnacentral:rRNA from 1 species